rfam:Myotis lucifugus cont2.18234, whole genome shotgun sequence.
GGUGGUUCUUGGAUGACGCACCCUGGAAUCUGGCUCCCUCCUCUCUGGUUCUGGGGUGCAUCACCAGAGAACCGUC